UACGUAGGGGGCGAGCGUUGUCCGGAUUUAUUGGGCGUAAAGAGCUCGUAGGCGGUUUGUCGCGUCGGCCGUGAAAUCUCCACGCUUAACGUGGAGCGUGCGGUCGAUACGGGCAUCACUGGAGUUCGGCAGGGGAGACUGGAAUUCCUGGUGUAGCGGUGAAAUGCGCAGAUAUCAGGAGGAACACCGGUGGCGAAGGCGGGUCUCUGGGCCGAUACUGACGCUGAGGAGCGAAAGCGUGGGGGAGCGAACAGG
rnacentral:rRNA from 1 species